ensembl:snoRNA
AUCCUUUUGUAGUUCAUAAAUUCACAAGCAUGAUGGAUGGAUUUUCACAUUCACGUGUUAGAUGUGCCUCCCUCAAACAUGACUAAAACAUGGGUACGUUAUCCACCAAUGAGG